rnacentral:rRNA from 1 species
AGUGAACGCUGGCGGUAGGCCUAACACAUGCAAGUCGAACGGCAGCACCGGAGAGCUUGCUCUCUGGGUGGCGAGUGGCGGACGGGUGAGGAAUACAUCGGAAUCUACUUUUUCGUGGGGGAUAACGUAGGGAAACUUACGCUAAUACCGCAUACGACCUACGGGUGAAAGCAGGGGAUCUUCGGACCUUGCGCGAUUGAAUGAGCCGAUGUCGGAUUAGCUAGUUGGCGGGGUAAAGGCCCACCAAGGCGACGAUCCGUAGCUGGUCUGAGAGGAUGAUCAGCCACACUGGAACUGAGACACGGUCCAGACUCCUACGGGAGGCAGCAGUGGGGAAUAUUGGACAAUGGGCGCAAGCCUGAUCCAGCCAUACCGCGUGGGUGAAGAAGGCCUUCGGGUUGUAAAGCCCUUUUGUUGGGAAAGAAAUCCAGCUGGUUAAUACCCGGUUGGGAUGACGGUACCCAAAGAAUAGCACCGGCUAACUUCGUGCCAGCAGCCGCCGUAA